GGGCUGUAGCCUUGGUAGCAGAGCACCUGCUUUGCUUGCAGAAGGUCCCAGGUUCAAUCCCUGGCAAAUCCA